UCUGGCAUCAGUCUUCACACUGAGGAAGAACAGUUAAGUUCACUGUAAAGCACCGCAUUAUGUCCGCUCUACGCUCUCUUCUGGUGGUGGUGGUGGUACUCCUGGCUCUGGUGUACGUGGCAGUGGCACUACCCUACCUUACUAACGGACAUGGUGGCAGAUUAGGACACGACGGAGGAUACGGGAUUGGACACGGCCCUCUCGGUAAUCUGGUCCAUGGGCCAGCUUACCGACCAUCAGAUCAUACUAUCACCCAUCACUAUGGAUA
rnacentral:lncRNA from 1 species